GAUGAACGCUAGCUACAGGCUUAACACAUGCAAGUCGAGGGGCAGCAUGGUCUUAGCUUGCUAAGACUGAUGGCGACCGGCGCACGGGUGAGUAACACGUAUCCAACCUGCCGUCUACUCUUGGACAGCCUUCUGAAAGGAAGAUUAAUACAAGAUGGCAUCAUGAGUCCGCAUGUUCACAUGAUUAAAGGUAUUCCGGUAGACGAUGGGGAUGCGUUCCAUUAGAUAGUAGGCGGGGUAACGGCCCACCUAGUCUUCGAUGGAUAGGGGUUCUGAGAGGAAGGUCCCCCACAUUGGAACUGAGACACGGUCCAAACUCCUACGGGAGGCAGCAGUGAGGAAUAUUGGUCAAUGGGCGAGAGCCUGAACCAGCCAAGUAGCGUGAAGGAUGACUGCCCUAUGGGUUGUAAACUUCUUUUAUAAAGGAAUAAAGUCGGGUAUGCAUACCCGUUUGCAUGUACUUUAUGAAUAAGGAUCGGCUAACUCCGUGCCAGCAGCCGCGGUAAUACGGAGGAUCCGAGCGUUAUCCGGAUUUAUUGGGUUUAAAGGGAGCGUAGAUGGAUGUUUAAGUCAGUUGUGAAAGUUUGCGGCUCAACCGUAAAAUUGCAGUUGAUACUGGAUAUCUUGAGUGCAGUUGAGGCAGGCGGAAUUCGUGGUGUAGCGGUGAAAUGCUUAGAUAUCACGAAGAACUCCGAUUGCGAAGGCAGCCUGCUAAGCUGCAACUGACAUUGAGGCUCGAAAGUGUGGGUAUCAAACAGGAUUAGAUACCCUGGUAGUCCACACGGUAAACGAUGAAUACUCGCUGUUUGCGAUAUACUGCAAGCGGCCAAGCGAAAGCGUUAAGUAUUCCACCUGGGGAGUACGCCGGCAACGGUGAAACUCAAAGGAAUUGACGGGGGCCCGCACAAGCGGAGGAACAUGUGGUUUAAUUCGAUGAUACGCGAGGAACCUUACCCGGGCUUAAAUUGCAGAUGAAUUACGGUGAAAGCCGUAAGCCGCAAGGCAUCUGUGAAGGUGCUGCAUGGUUGUCGUCAGCUCGUGCCGUGAGGUGUCGGCUUAAGUGCCAUAACGAGCGCAACCCUUGUUGUCAGUUACUAACAGGUUCCGCUGAGGACUCUGACAAGACUGCCAUCGUAAGAUGUGAGGAAGGUGGGGAUGACGUCAAAUCAGCACGGCCCUUACGUCCGGGGCUACACACGUGUUACAAUGGGGGGUACAGAGGGCCGCUACCACGCGAGUGGAUGCCAAUCCCCAAAACCUCUCUCAGUUCGGACUGGAGUCUGCAACCCGACUCCACGAAGCUGGAUUCGCUAGUAAUCGCGCAUCAGCCACGGCGCGGUGAAUACGUUCCCGGGCCUUGUACACACCGCCCGUCAAGCCAUGGGAACCGAGGGUACCUGAAGUGCGUAACCGCGAGGAG
rnacentral:rRNA from 1 species